rnacentral:rRNA from 1 species
UACAGAGGGGGCAAGCGUUAUUCGGAAUUAUUGGGCGUAAAGGGCGCGUAGGCGGCCAUUCAAGUGACGGGUGAAAGCCCUCGGCUUAACCGAGGAACUGCCUGUCAGACUGGAUGGCUUGAGACCGGGAGAGGUGAGUGGAAUUCCCAGUGUAGCGGUGAAAUGCGUAGAUAUUGGGAGGAGCACCAGUGGCGAAGGCGGCUCACUGGACCGGAACUGACGCUGAGGCGCGAAAGCGUGGGGAGCAAACAGG